CUGCAGUAUAUUCCUAAUGAUUUCGGUGAGCUUGAGUCUCUCACGCACCUGGACAUGUCGGGGUGCUCUAAUCUGCAGUAUAUUCCUGAAGAUUUCGGUGAGCUUGAGUCUCUCACGUACCUGGACAUGUCGGGGUGCUCUAAUCUGCAGUUAGUUUCAAAUGAUUUCGGCCUGCAUCGAAAUAUACGUAUAUGUCAAAAGCGAGCAUGCUUUCCAAGUAGUUUCGGCAAGCUUAGUUGUUUGGAAGAGUUGAAUAUAAGUCUUUGUAAGCGACUGUCUAGACUUCCAGACGGAUUCGGUCAGCUCAAGUCUCUCAUGUACCUGCACAUGUCGGGGUGCUCUAAUCUGCGGUAUAUUCCUGAUGAUUUCGGUAAGCUUGAGUCUCUCACGCACCUGGACAUGUCGGGGUGCUCUAAUCUGGAGUUAGUUUCAAAUGAUUUCGGCCUGCCUAGUCAUUUGGAAAAGCUAAAUAUAAGUAAAUGUCAAAGGCUAGCAUGCCUUCCAAGUAGUUUUGGCAAGCUUAGUUGUUUGGAAGACUUGAAUAUAAGUUUUUGUGAGCGACUGUCUAGACUUCCUGAUGAAUUCGGUCAGCUCAAGUCUCUCACGUACCUUAACAUGUCGGGAUGUUCUAAUCUGAAGAUGGUUUCUGAUGAUUUCGAGCAGCUGUCCUCUGUAUGUUCAGUGGAUGCAUCAUAUUGUCCAAUAUUAGAUGGCAAGGCAAUGGACAAGCUUGUUGAGAUGAAGAGCCUGCAAGUAUUGAAUAUCCAGGAAAGCCCAAUGUUGGUAAAGAGGUGGAGAGAAGUAAAAGAAAGCUAUCCUCUAGUCGUAGUGGAUGAUGUAUUGCCUGGCUGCUAUCACGAGCAUCCCGUGUCCAGUGCAUUGUUUCAUCAAGAAAGUAGAUUCCUGCUUAAUGAUGGUUGUCUAAAGUUUUCUAAGGCGUCACCUGGUCCAGGACAGGUGGCACUUGUAUUAAGCAUGUGUGACAUGUCUUGGCCUUCCUUCGAGAUGGUGGAAGAGAAGAUUCCAGAGCUGGCUUCUCAAAGAUUUCAAAUUGUGUGUGUGUGUGUGGGGAAAAGGUGGAAGGAAUAUGUGGAACGCCUGCGGCUGGGUCAUCUACAUUUGCCUCGUGGCACCCGUGCAUGGAUCGCUCCUGACGAGAGAUGGAAUAUGUUAGCAGGAUAUUCUAUUUUCCAACUCAUUUCGCCACGUGGUGGACAAACCAUGGUGUCAGAUAUUCAUACUGUUAUUGCCAGCGCAUGCGUGUCUCUUGAUCGAAAAGGCAAAAAGUACGUGCACGAUAUAAAGUUGAAGUUCCCAGUUUCCGGCAAAGUUGAAGCAUUGAAAGAUGUACCCGGGGGUUUUCGUAGGCUAUUCUUUCCUAUGAGAGAGAUGGAGGACGGUUUGGUAUCUUUCGCUCCGGAAAGAGUUGAAGUUGGCAUCAAUAAGGAGCGAGUUGAAGUAAUCAAGCUUCUUGACUCGAUGGAUCAGUCAACAAGAGGUGUGGUCCUGUAUGGGAUUGGUGGUGUAGGGAAGACAACCCUGGCGAGUGCUGUCUUCAGCUCUCCGGAGCUCAAUGACUACAUACACUGCAGAAUCAAUAUUCACCAAGAUUGUUCAGAGUCUCAUAUUAAGCAGCUACAAGAGCAGGUUUUGAAAGACUUGUUUGGGAAAAAGAUUGAGAUAAUGAAUUGCGAAGAGGGUAAACAUCAUCUAUCAAAUUUGUUUAGAGAAGACAACUCCCAGCCUGUCUUUUUGUUUAUAGACAAUGCUUUGAGAGGAUGUGAUCUGGCAAAACUUCUUCCGCGGGACCUUUCUUGCCUUCCAAAUCGAAGCAGGAUACUAAUAACUACAAGAAAGCUAGAUGAGACUGACAUGAUCGAAGAUGCAGGUGUCAAGCGCUACGCAUUUAUCGUCAACCCUCUUUCAGACGCAGAAUCAAAAAAGCUUUUGUGGGGGAAGGCUUCAGGCACUGCUGACAAUAUUAUUCACAAAAGCUUAGAUGGGCCUAUUAACUCUGUUGUGAAAAUAUGCGGCGGCGUGCCUCUGGCGCUAGUGGCGGUAGGCCUCAGAUUGCGUAAAUUUGGCAACGAUGUCCCUGCUUAUGAAAGAACUAUUAAAUUUUUGAAGAAUUCCCUAGAAAAAGGAGAGGGAAAUUUAAGUGAAAAAAUAGUUGAUGUGGUGUACAACGCUUUGGAAGAAGAUUUAUACAAAGAUGCAUUUCUAGAUAUAGCAGCAUUUUUCAAUAAUUGGGAUGAGCGGACAGUGGGCUACAUUGUUGGAGAGGUGGCUCUUCAAGCCAUAAAAGAGGCCGCCUUGGUAAAGAUUACCGAAGAAGGGAAAGUUGUUGUACACGAUAUCGUUCAAGCCCGGGGAAGAAAGUUGUCAGAAAUGGAUAGAAUAACUGAUCACAAAUCCCUUAGAUAUGCUCUGCAGGAUGCACAGAGGCUUGAAAAAUUGAAAGGAAUUUGGCUUCCUCCUCCCGAUGAUUCCGACGAAUUUCAACUUGAAGCAAAACAUUUGGAAUUGAUGAAUAGAUCUUUAAGAAUUUUGCAUUUAGGCGAAAGAAACAGGUUGGAUGGAGAAAGCAAGGAAACCUUUCCAAAUCUAAGGUUGCUACACAUCACGGGUGAUUUAGGAAUGGAAUUGACAAAGCUUGAAAGACUGGCAGUUCUGCAAGCUGAUUUGGCGAACUACAAUCGGUUACCAGAUUCUCUCCGUCUCUCCUCAUUGAGAACGCUUAAUUUAAGAGGGAGUAAAUUAGUUUGCCUUCCAAACAGUUUUGGCAAGCUUAGUCGUUUAGAAGACUUGAACAUAAGUCAUUGUGAGCAACUGUCUAGGCUUCCUGAUGGAUUCGGUCAGCUCAAUUCCCUCACGUACCUGCACAUGUCGGGGUGCUCUAAUCUGGAGAUGGUUUCUGAUGAUUUCGAGCAGCUGUCCUCUGUAUGUUCAGUGGAUGCAUCAUAUUGUCCAAUAUUAGAUGGCAAGGCAAUGGACAAGCUUGUUGAGAUGAAGAGGCUGCAAGUGUUGAAUAUCCAGGAAAGCCCUAUGUUGGUAAAGAGGUGGAGAGAAGUAAAAGAAAGCUAUCCCGUAGUCGUAGUGGAUGAUGUAUUGCCUGGCUGCUAUCACGAGCAUCCCGUGUCCAGUGCACUAUUUCAUAAAGAGAGUAGAUUCCUGUUUAAUGACGGUGGUCUACAGAUUGCUGCUGAGUGGUCACCCAUGCCGGGACAGGUGGCAUUUAUAUUGAGCAUGUGUGACAUGUCUUGGCCUUCCUUCGAGAUGGUGAAAGCGGAGAUUGAAGACCUGGCUUCCCAAGGAUUUCAAAUAGUGCGUGUGUGUGUUGGGCAAAUGUGGAAGGAAUAUGUGGAACGCAUGCAGCUGGGUCAUGUACAUUUACCUCGUGGCACCCUCGCAUGGAUCGCUCCUGACGAGAGAUGGAAUAUGUUAGCAGGAUAUUCUAUUUUCCAACUCAUUUCGCAACGUGGUGGACAAACCAUUGGGUCAGAUAUUCAUACUGUUAUUGCCAGCGCAUGCGUGUCUCUUGAUCGAAAAGGAAAAAAGUACGUGCACGAUAUAAAGUUGAAGUUCCCAGUUUCCGGCAAAGUCGAAGCAUUGAAAGAUGUACACGGGGGUUUUCGUAGGCUAUUCUUUCCUAUGAGAGAGAUGGAGGACGGUUUGGUAUCUUUCGCUCCGGAAAGAGUUGAAGUUGGCAUCAAUAAGGAGCGAGUUGAAGUAAUCAAGCUUCUUGACUCGAUGGAUCAGUCAACAAGAGGUGUGGUCCUGUACGGGAUUGGUGGUGUAGGGAAGACAACCCUGGCGAGUGCUGUCUUCAACUCUCCGGAGCUCAAUGACUACAAACACUGCAGAAUCAAUAUUCACCAAGAUUGUUCAGAGUCUCAUAUUAAGCUGCUACAAGAGCAGGUUUUGAAAGACUUGUUUGGGAAAAAGAUUGAGAUAAUGAAUUGCGAAGAGGGUAAACAUCAUCUAUCAAAUUUGUUUAGAGAAGACAACUCCCAGCCUGUCUUUUUGUUUAUAGACAAUGCUUUGAGAGGAUGUGAUCUGGCAAAACUUCUUCCGCGGGACCUUUCUUGCCUUCCAAAUCGAAGCAGGAUACUAAUAACUACAAGAAAGCUAGAUGAGACUGACAUGAUCGAAGAUGCAGGUGUCAAGCGCUACGCAUUUAUCGUCAACCCUCUUUCAGACGCAGAAUCAAAAAAGCUUUUGUGGGGGAAGGCUUCAGGCACUGCUGACAAUAUUAUUCACAAAAGCUUAGAUGGGCCUAUUAACUCUGUUGUGAAAAUAUGCGGCGGCGUGCCUCUGGCGCUAGUGGCGGUAGGCCUCAGAUUGCGUAAAUUUGGCAACGAUGUCCCUGCUUAUGAAAGAACUAUUAAAUUUUUGAAGAAUUCCCUAGAAAAAGGAGAGGGAAAUUUAAGUGAAAAAAUAGUUGAUGUGGUGUACAACGCUUUGGAAGAAGAUUUAUACAAAGAUGCAUUUCUAGAUAUAGCAGCAUUUUUCAAUAAUUGGGAUGAGCGGACAGUGGGCUACAUUGUUGGAGAGGUGGCUCUUCAAGCCAUAAAAGAGGCCGCCUUGGUAAAGAUUACCGAAGAAGGGAAAGUUGUUGUACACGAUAUCGUUCAAGCCCGGGGAAGAAAGUUGUCAGAAAUGGAUAGAAUAACUGAUCACAAAUCCCUUAGAUAUGCUCUGCAGGAUGCACAGAGGCUUGAAAAAUUGAAAGGAAUUUGGCUUCCUCCUCCCGAUGAUUCCGACGAAUUUCAACUUGAAGCAAAACAUUUGGAAUUGAUGAAUAGAUCUUUAAGAAUUUUGCAUUUAGGCGAAAGAAACAGGUUGGAUGGAGAAAGCAAGGAAACCUUUCCAAAUCUAAGGUUGCUACACAUCACGGGUGAUUUAGGAAUGGAAUUGACAAAGCUUGAAAGACUGGCAGUUCUGCAAGCUGAUUUGGCGAACUACAAUCGGUUACCAGAUUCUCUCCGUCUCUCCUCAUUGAGAACGCUUAAUUUAAGAGGGAGUAAAUUAGUUUGCCUUCCAAACAGUUUUGGCAAGCUUAGUCGUUUGGAAGAGUUGAAUAUAAGUAAUUGUGAGCAACUGUCGAGACUUCCUGAGCGAUUGGGUCAGCUCAAGAAUCUCACAUAUCUGGACAUGUCAGGGUGCUCUAAUCGGGUAAUGGUUUCCCAUGAUUUCAGCCUGCCUAGUUGUCUGGAAAAGCUAAAUAUAAGUAAAUGUCCAUGGUUAGAAUACCUUCCGCAGUCAUUCUGUAAGUUGAGUCGCUUGGAGAUGUUGAAUGUAAGCCAUUGUGAGCAACUGUCGAGACUUCCUGAGCGAUUGGAUCAGCUCAAGAAUCUCACAUAUCUGAACAUUGCGGGAUGCUGUAGUCUGAAGAUGCUAUCUGAUGAUUUCGAGCAGCUGUCCUCUGUAAGGGCAGUGAAUGCAUCAUAUUGUUCAGCAUUAGAUGGCAAGGCAGUGGACAAGCUUGUUCAGAUGAAGAGCCUGCUGGUAUUGAAUAUCCGGAAAAGCCCCAUGUUGAGAAACAGGUGGGAAGAAGUAAAAGUAAAAGGAAUACAUGCUUUGAUCGUGCUAGUGGAGGACGGGGAAAGCAGUUGGCUUGAACAUCUCCUGUCCACUGCAUUAUUUCAUAGAGAGAGUGGAUUCCUUGAUCGUGAUGGUGAUCUAAAGUUUGUUGCUCAGUGGUCACCCGGCCCAGGACCGGUGGCAUUUGUAUUGACCAUGUGUGAUCUGUCUUUGCCUUCAAAUAAGGCAGCCUUCGAGAUGGUAAGACAGAAAAUUGGAGAGUUGAUUUCCAAGAGAUUUCAAAUUGUGUACGUAUGUGUGGGGCAAAUGCUAGAUGAGGACGGCAUCCGCCGAAGAAUAUUACCCUUCCAUAUUUCCACUCGUGCAUGGAUUGCUCCUGCCGAGAAAUGGAAUACCUUAGCAGGAUAUUCUAUUUUCCAUCUUUCAUUGGCAGCGGAUCGCGAUCGGCCAAUGCUGGUGCCAAGUCUUCAUACUCUUAUUGCCAGCGCAUACGUAACGCUUGAUAAGUGUGUGAAGGAUAUAAAGUUGAGGUUGCCGGAGCUAGACGGUGGUGAAGAUAAAGGUGUUGAAGGAUUGCAAGAUGUGGAUGGUAGUUUUAGAAGACUGUUCUUGCCUCUAAUACAAUGGCACUAAAAAUUUGGUCAAUUUUGAGAGGUCAGCUAUGGGAUCGUCACAAAUAGUCACAUGGACAUUCAUGUUGUCUUAGUAGCUUUGGAGAAAGCUUGGUGCAACAAGUGGUAGGAGUACACCACGUACUUUUCAGUCGAUUCCAUGGUCAUGAGUAUUUUCACCACUGGAGGGCUUAUCAAGGGUUGAGAUGUCCCAACUUGGUGACAUCAUGCUUUCGCCCAUUGACUUUGGCCUAGAUAGCUUUGCGUUUACUCCACCUACCUCAAGGACAUCGCGUGUGAGAAAGCCAUCCUCUAGCACUCCGAAGCAGAAAAAGAUAUCCUCCUAGACACCCAAAUGAUCGAAG